CAGCCGCCGCGGUAAUACAGAGGAUGCGAGCGUUAAUCGGAUUUACUGGGCGUAAAGCGUGCGUAGGCGGCUUUUUAAGUCGGAUGUGAAAUCCCUGAGCUUAACUUAGGAAUUGCAUUCGAUACUGGGAAGCUAGAGUAUGGGAGAAGAUGGUAGAAUUCCAGGUGUAGCGGUGAAAUGCGUAGAGAUCUGGAGGAAUACCGAUGGCGAAGGCAGCCAUCUGGCCUAAUACUGACGCUGAGGUACGAAAGCAUGGGGAGCAAACAGGAUUAGAUACCCCUGUAGUCCCUGUCUCUUAUAC
rnacentral:rRNA from 1 species